UCCGUAGGCGGGCUAAUAAGUCAGAGGUGAAAUCCCACAGCUCAACUGUGGAACUGCCUUUGAUACUGGUUGUCUUGAGUUAUAGUGAAGUAGAUAGAAUAUGUAGUGUAGCGGUGAAAUGCAUAGAUAUUACAUAGAAUACCGAUUGCGAAGGCAGUCUACUAACUGUACACUGACGCUAAUGGACGAAAGCGUGGGGAGCGAACAGGAUUAGAUACCCUGGUAGUC
rnacentral:rRNA from 1 species